CUAAGUUCAGCGGGUCUUCCUACCUGAUCCGGAGACACUUGGGUAAAUAAGGCUUUUUAACGGCCGGAACCCGCAGCACGCCCUGAGCGAGAUGUAUUACUACGCUCGGAGUGACUAGCGAGCCCGCCACUGGUUUCAGGGCCUGCGGCAGCCGCAGGUCCCCAACACAAGCCGGGGGCUUGAUGGUUGAAAUGACGCUC
rnacentral:misc_RNA from 1 species